rnacentral:hammerhead_ribozyme from 1 species
GCACUGCCAAGGAGUCUCAAAAUAGGACGAAACGGCCGUCCAGUGC